AGUUGUUAGAAACAGCAGAUUUAAUACUGUUGCUGUUCUGAAUAAAGAAAUAAGAAAAUUCCCAUCACAGUGGUACUCAGAAAAAUUAAAAAUAACCGGUAUUAACAUCAUUAAUCGCCUUGGAGCCAAGAAUUUUCCAGCCAGCUUACCUGGUGCAAGAUUUUCUGUCUUGUUUUUCCUUCACUUAGUAGAUAAAAAAUGAAUUCAUACUGACAUAAUAAGCAAAUUUUUUCUUGUGCAGAUAUUCUAUUUGCAAAGCUUGAGCAAAAACGUCUGGACAAGUGGAGAAAACUGAGACUAAACCAAACCUGCAACUGGUUGAAAUAACCACCAAUUUAUCUGGUGUUUUCAAACUUUGUAGCUAGACUCGACUCUAUAAGAUUUUCACUUAUUCAAAGUUUUGAACAAGUCCAACACCAUCAUGAUAUACCUGCUGCUCCAGGAGUUUUGGUACAUACAAGUUCUUAAGUUCUUUCCCAACAAGGAAGACUGAAGGCAGGUGAUUUAUAAACAGCUUCUGCUUAAAUGAUUCUUUUCUUUGACAAAGCAGCACUUAAGAUCUAUCCCAAAAAGAAGUCAUAUGGUUGCAUGGCAUCACUAAAACGUCUCACUCAGACAUCAAAAUGAGACUGUAGGAUGACGAUGAGUGACGGAGGUGGCCUGUGCAGUCAUUAAAUAGGUUGCAUCUUCUUCUUCCUUUUAUGAGCCGUAUGUCAGCUGUACUGCUCUACACUGCCCCUGGGUUUCUGGUGGUACUACUCCAAUGUUCUUUCAGGGAACAGAGUUACAAGGCCCUGAAAACAGCCUAAAUCACGCAAGUUUAUAUGGGCAAUCCUCUCGUCCCCCCACCCAGAAAUGUGUGCAGCGCCGGCCCGGCUGCAGGUGAGCUGUAAUUAAGCAGAGAGCAGACAUUAUGGAGCAGAUGAGCUGCAGGAGACACACAGCAGCAGCUUUCUGCCAUCUGAUCCACCAGCAGCAGACACGUUGCACAGUCUGAGGCUGGCCAAAAGAGGCUGGAAUGCAGUCUGUCUGUCAGGGUGAAAAAGAAGCAGAAAAGAAGAAGAAAGAAAGGAAAGCGCCACCUCAUCAUUUCCCGGUUCAACCUCCAGCUCUGAUCUUCAGCGUCACUAGCAUCUAGAUGGAACACACAUCUACCUCAAAAGCUUAAUUUGAGGAUUUAUUAUUUUCUGUUGACUCAAUCAAAUGAUUGCAAUCUGAAGAAUGUCCAUGUUUAUGAGCCAUUCCAAUGCUGUAAUAUACGAUAAGUAAUUUAUUCAAUAAAAAUGCUUGUCCAAAGGAUUCAACACUAGACACUUGUACUGUAUAAUACGACAUACAAAACAAAAUGUGUGCU